UACGAAGGUGGCAAGCGUUGUUCGGAUUUACUGGGCGUACAGGGAGCGUAGGCGGUUGGAUAAGCCCUCCGUGAAAUCUCCAGGCUUAACCUGGAAAGUGCAGAGGGGACUGUUCAGCCAGAGGAUGGGAGAGGAGCGCGGAAUUCCCGGUGUAGCGGUGAAAUGCGUAGAGAUCGGGAGGAAGGCCGGUGGCGAAGGCGGCGCUCUGGACCUCUUCUGACGCUGAGGCGCGAAAGCUAGGGGAGCAAACGGG
rnacentral:rRNA from 1 species